rnacentral:rRNA from 1 species
UACGUAGGGAGCAAGCGUUGUCCGGAAUCAUUGGGCGUAAAGCGCGUGUAGGCGGCUUGGUAAGUCUGCUCUGAAAGCCCGGGGCUCAACCCCGGGAGGCGGGUGGAUACUGCCGAGCUCGAGUCCGGAAGAGGCGAGUGGAAUUCCUGGUGUAGCGGUGAAAUGCGCAGAUAUCAGGAGGAACACCGAUUGCGAAGGCAGCUCGCUGGGACGUUACUGACGCUGAGACGCGAAAGCGUGGGGAGCAAACAGG